GAUGAACGCUGGCGGCGUGCUUAACACAUGCAAGUCGAGCGAAGCACUUACCAUUGACUCUUCGGAAGAUUUGGUAAAUGACUGAGCGGCGGACGGGUGAGUAACGCGUGGGCAACCUGCCUCAUACAGGGGAAUAACAGUUAGAAAUGGCUGCUAAUGCCGCAUAAGCGCACAGUACCGCAUGGUACGGUGUGAAAAACCGAGGUGGUAUGAGAUGGACCCGCGUCUGAUUAGGUAGUUGGUGGGGUAAUGGCCUACCAAGCCGACGAUCAGUAGCCGGCCUGAGAGGGUGAACGGCCACAUUGGGACUGAGACACGGCCCAGACUCCUACGGGAGGCAGCAGUGGGGAAUAUUGCACAAUGGGGGAAACCCUGAUGCAGCGACGCCGCGUGAAGGAAGAAGUAUCUCGG
rnacentral:rRNA from 1 species